UAUGUGAUCGUCUCUCGCAUAUCAAUAAGCGGAGGAAAAGAAACUAACAAGGAUUCCCCUAGUAACGGCGAGUGAAGCGGGAAGAGCUCAAAUUUGGAAUCUUAAAGGGUUUCCCUUUACGAAUUGUAGUUUAAAGAAGUGUUUUCUGUUGAGGUUUUGGUAAAAGUUCUUUGGAAUAGGACAUCAUAGAGGGUGAGAAUCCCGUAUUUGACCUUUACUUUCAACUUUGUGAUACACUUUCAAAGAGUCGGAUUGUUUGGGAAUGCAGUCCAAAAUGGGUGGUAAAUUUCAUCUAAAGCUAAAUAUUGGCGAGAGACCGAUAGCGAACAAGUACCGUGAGGGAAAGAUGAAAAGAACAUUGAAAAGAGAGUUAAACAGUACGUGAAAUUGUCAAAAGGGAAGCGUUUGACACCAGUGUUGUUUUUCUGAAAAUCAAUUAAAGAACUGUUUAUGCUAAGCUGUUUAGACUUUAUCAGCUAUCUGCUUAGUUUUGAGCUUUUCUUUAAUGCACUUUUCAGUUAACAAGUCAACAUCAAUUUCUUUUGCUGUAAAAAAGCUUGAGGAAGGUGGCUUGAGAUUCGUCUUAAGUGUUUAUAGCCUCUUGCCUAUGCAGUCGGAGAGAUUGAGGUCUGCAGCGUAGAUCCUUCGGGGCUAAAUGCAUUUGUGCUAAGUUAUAGCAUUUUAUAGACAACUUGUUGACUAUGAUUUGUCUUGUAGCUUACUCGCUUAUGUUAUUUUACCUACGCUUAGGAUGUUGAUCUCUCACAGUCGAGC
rnacentral:rRNA from 1 species